GCUGACCAAUACUAAUUACUCGUGAGGCUUGACUAUACAACACCCAAACAGUUG
rnacentral:rRNA from 1 species